UGUGACAGAAUAGUGUGAUAAAUUUAAGAUUUAUUUAUAAAGUAAACCUUUCUUUAGAA
rnacentral:tRNA from 14 species